UGUUAAGAUGCAGUGUACCCGCGGCUAGACGGAAAGACCCCGUGAACCUUUACUAUAGCUUCACACUGGACUUUGAUUGUACUUGUGUAGGAUAGGUGGGAGACUUUGAAGGCAUCGCGCCAGCGUUGCUGGAGUCAUCCUUGAAAUACCACCCUGGUGCUGUUGGGGUUCUAACCCAGGUCCCUUGACGGGAUCGGGGACAGUGUGUGGUGGGUAGUUUGACUGGGGCGGUCUCCUCCCAAAGAGUAACGGAGGAGCACGAAGGUACCCUAAGGGCGGUUGGAAAUCGUCUGUAUUGUGCAAUGGCGUAAGGGUGCUUGACUGCGAGAGUGACGACUCGAGCAGGAGCGAAAGCUGGUCAUAGUGAUCCGGUGGUUCUGUAUGGAAGGGCCAUCGCUCAACGGAUAAAAGGUACUCCGGGGAUAACAGGCUGAUACCGCCCAAGAGUUCACAUCGACGGCGGUGUUUGGCACCUCGAUGUCGGCUCAUCACAUCCUGGGGCUGAAGCAGGUCCCAAGGGUAUGGCUGUUCGCCAUUUAAAGUGGUACGCGAGCUGGGUUUAGAACGUCGUGAGACAGUUCGGUCCCUAUCUGCCGUGGGCGCAGGAGAUUUGCGAAGAGUUGCCCCUAGUACGAGAGGACCGGGGUGAACGAACCGCUGGUGUUCGGGUUGUCUCGCCAGAGGCAUUGCCCGGUAGCUAUGUUCGGACGGGAUAACCGCUGAAGGCAUCUAAGCGGGAAGCCUCCUUCAAGACGAGAUCUCCCUGAGGAUCCGGGCUUGCCCGGCUCCUCCUGAAGUGCCGUUGAAGACGACGACGUUGAUAGGCCGGGUGUGUAAGCGCUGUGAGGCGUUGAGCUAACCGGUACUAAUUGCACGUGAGGCUUGAUCGC
rnacentral:rRNA from 1 species